rnacentral:rRNA from 1 species
UACGAAGGGGGCUAGCGUUGCUCGGAUUCAUUGGGCGUAAAGAGCGUGUAGGCGGCCAUACAGGUCAGCUGUGAAAACUCGAGGCUCAACCUCGAGACGUCGGUUGAAACCGUAUGGCUAGAGUCCGGAAGAGGAGAGUGGAAUUCCCGGUGUAGCGGUGAAAUGCGCAGAUAUCGGGAAGAACACCCGUGGCGAAGGCGGCUACUCGUGGGACG